rnacentral:pre_miRNA from 1 species
AAACCGCCCCUUAAGUUUUGCAACUGUAGCAGUUUUGGCCCUCCAAAACCAAAAAAAAUAAAAAAAUAACACGUGACACCUCACUUAAGGUGUCACGUCAGUGUAGACGAAGUCAAAAUUGAUCUUGAGGGUCAAAACUGCCACAAAUGCAAAACUUAUGGAGCGGUUU